rfam:Lupinus angustifolius cultivar Tanjil chromosome LG08, whole genome shotgun sequence.
GGUUUAACGGGAUAUUGGUGCGGUUCAAUAAGAAAGUAAUGCUCAACAAUAUUUGGAGCCUCGCUUUUUUAUUGAGCCGUGCCAAUAUCACGUAUACCACU